GAUGAACGCUGGCGGCGUGCCUAACACAUGCAAGUCGAACGAUUAAGGCGCCUUCGGGCGCGAAUAGAGUGGCGAACGGGUGAGUAACACGUGACCAACCUGCCCCCCUCCCGGGACUAACGCGAGGAAACCCGCGCUAAUACCGGAUACUCCGCCCCUCCCGCAUGGGAGGGGCGGGAAAGCCCCGACGGAGGGGGAGUGGGGUCGCGGCCCAUUAGGUAGACGGCGGGGCAACGGCCCACCGUGCCUGCGAUGGGUAGCCGGGUUGAGAGACCGACCGGCCACAUUGGGACUGAGAUACGGCCCAG
rnacentral:rRNA from 1 species